rnacentral:lncRNA from 10 species
CCGGCCUGAUGAGGGAAGCAGGGGCAGAGCGCUCAGGCCAGGGCCGGCGGGGGCACUGCGCACUGGCCGCCUCCCUCCUCUGGCCAAUCCUCCUGCCGCUGCGCGUCUAGUCCACCUCGUCCCUCUCUGCAGCAGGCAUGUUCCUACGUGAAGCAUGGAGUUACGCAAUGGCCUGCCUGUCCAUGAAGUUCCUCUGGCCUCCUCCGAUUCUGUGGCUGCAAAUCCACACCUAGGAGCUCCGCAGGCCUGCUGGAGCACAGCGCCUGUAGGUUUCUGCGCCUGGAACCCACCUCAGGACCACAAGCCGCAUUCAGUCUCUUUUUAUAGAUCUGGAACCCGAAGCCCAGCGUGGUUAGGAACUUGUCUAAGGUCACUUGGUAGUAAAUACUGGAACAGGGAUUCAAACCCACAUCUCCAGAGAGAGCUCAGAAGCCUUGUGCUUUCCAUGAGUGCAGCUGUUUCCAGAGGCCUCCGGCCCUGUCUCACCUUCCCAGACUGCCUUGAGAGGCUCUAGCUGGCCUGUCUCUAGUGUGGCCAGAUUCUAUCUGGUCAGUGGCAAGGGAGGACCCCAGGCCACAAUACUGACAUCAGGGAACAGAACAGAUCUGCAGGGCCAGUGAGUGGUGCUACGGAAAGGCUGGGAGUGGCCCCUGCGUGGUUUUCCCUAGACCCAUCGUCAGGGGCUCCAGGCCUCCAUGUGUUGUGCUGCACGGGCUACUGGCUCCCUCUCCAAAAUCGACCCUGGGUGAGCUGUGGAGGCGAGAAGGCAGUGUGCAUUUCAGAAACUAACCAAAAUCAGUGAGAAAAUCUUGGAGAAACUGAAGUUACCCUGGGCGGCUGUAGCUGGGAAUGGAGGAUGGGGCAGCCAGGAGCCAGACUUAAGAAGGCUGUUCACACUCUGCUCUUGUUGCUUGCCUCCCACACCUCGUGACAAAUGCUGCCUGGUCCCGCUCAGGUGUCAGGAUUGCAAGGUGGCUGUGUCAGCCAGUGUGAGGGCCCCACAAGCCACCGGUGUUGUGUGCCCUCCAUCCUCCUCCUGAACCCCCCCUGGGUGGGACAGUUGCUAUCCAGGGAAAUGGGCCUCUUCCACUGUGAUCUCCUCCAGGGCUUUCACCGGCAGGCCCGCCUGCAGGAGUGGCUUGUGGGGUGGCAGGAUGCAGGAGAGAGUGAGUGAGGUGCUUCGUGCCUGGGGCCCUCUGCUCUGGGGCCACCCUCCUCGUUGACUCACUGGGAGCCUUGCUAGUGCAGACAGGGUGACCAGGAGCUGCUAAGCCCAGGGAAUGCACACACGUGCACUGGAGCAGCUGCCUAUCUUAAGAGUCCAAUGCCCACCGAAACACAGUAGGCUGCACAGCAUCCACUACUGGAAGUAGAGUUGCUGGAAAAGACAGACCAAACAUAUUUAAUAAGCACAAUAAAUAUCUUUUUGGAUACAGAAAAAUAUUAUUAGUAAUAAGACCUAAGACAAAGAAACUACCGAAAAGAACCAAGUCAAAAUAUUACAUAUGCAAAAUGUAAUCGUUGAAUUAAAGACCACAUUACAUUGAGCAAACAGGGUCAAUGCAGAUGAAAGAGGAAGCCAGUCGUUACUUUAAAGGUAUGGCUGUCACAGUGUGGACUUUGGAGCCCGUCCACUUUAGUUGGGGUAAUUUGUAGAGCAUUUAUUUACAAAAGUACUAAUCACCCAGGUAUGUUUGGGCUGAAGGCUCCGGGAAAGCCCAGGGCAGGGGCCUGGCACAGGCAUCAGAAGCAGAGCUCUUGCCACCCAAGGCCCUGAGGGACCAGUGAAGUAGGAGCCGUGGGGAGAGGGUGCCUGAGAGGAGCAGGGACACUCAGCCGAGGGACACAGCCAGCCAAGGCGGCCUCACAAAGAGGAUUUUCAUGGAAACAAAUGCCCUGACUACUUCAUUCCCACAUCUUCGGCUGAGGCUCCCAUGGCAAGUGGAGAGAGCAGCUGCAGGUGGCCUCGGUCACUUGGGUCAGCUCUCCUGCUUAAAACAAACACAGAAAUCAAUAAAAGUGUUGAUUGUAUUAUU